CAGGACGGGAGUAUUGCAGACUAAUAACACCGAGCCAUGUGCGGUGCAUGUGGAGAGGAAGAGGAAACGGCUGAACACCUCAGACUUUUCUGUGUGCAAAACAACGGGGCUGAUUUUUUCAAAGCAAUGGGGUUUAAGGACACUGGAGGCAAAAUAGACUUUAAGCGGGUAGAAAUAACCAAACGGAGGUUAUCUGAUUGGUGGCUAAAAUCAAGACAGGGGUGAAAUUUCACCCUCCACAAAGUACGAAAUACAUUAACAGUCACGGCCAGGUGGCGUGUGCCACCGCCCGAUUUAAAGGGUUCAGCUUCAUCCAUUCAUCCAUCCGUGGGCUUUCUCCGCCGCGGAAGCCGCGCCAAGGCGGCGGGCGUCUGCUACGAGCCUGAUAUAUUUUGGUUGCUAUUUGCCAACAUCGCUAUAAUUUGGGAUAUAUUAAGUAUCACGUCACCGCAAGAUACGUCGAUUCCUCCUACAGUGCAUUCAAGAUGAUGCGUGCUUUGGACUUUACCAGAAAUUCAUCUUACGAGCUUCUUGGGAAGCAUCCACCUGUUUGCCCUGUUACAUGACAAAGCAGUUUGAUUUAUUAUUGAUUUAACACUGUGAUGUGUUAGCAAAUUUACCCAAGAACAAAGAAACAACUCGAGGAAUUGUUAUACGCGCUCCCGAUUAUUUCAAAAGUAGCAUCCCUAAAAAAUUUAUUUAGCACCGUGGUGGUGAUGUGACUGUGUUUGUAUCAAGUGAAAUUUUCAUUCUUCCUUCUGCCCUGUUUGUCUCUUGGAAUGAUGAAAGAAAUGAACGUGUUCUAUUGCAGUCACCAAGUUGUAAUCAUUUGGGUAAAAAAAAUAAGGCAGUGCAAUGUACUUUUAGAGAAUGUAGUUUCAUCAGCGUAACCCAUGGCACAGUAUUGCACCUGUCUUCACUGAUCUGCUAAGACAGUGCAUGAGGGUGUGGCAGUGUCGCAGAGAGAAACUAAUUUAUCGAUAAGUUAUCUCCAGCACUCUGCAGCAGAGUUUGCUUUCACUGCACCAAGGAAAACAUAGCAAAAAGUGUUUACAGUGCCGCCCACAAAGAAACAUUCCUUAAUGCAAAGAAAUGUGGCUGUAUUCUCCUAUACCAUCAACCAUGGUGCCAUUCUCACCUCUAGGAAUGUUUUUUUUUUUUUGUUUUUGUUUUCCUAUAUCUUUCAUAUUAUUUCAUGUUCACUUGUUUUAUAUAUUCUUUCAUAUGUUUAUAUAUCAGUUGGUGCUUUUGUUGUUCUGCAUGGUAUAAAUACUGUGAUGCUUAAAUAGUGCAUAGUAAUCACUUAAAUAGGUGAGUGCAUUGUGCCAUAUUACACCUACAAAGUACUUCAACUGUUUAAGCAAAUCUAAGUGGCUUGCUAAUUGGGACCUCUAUGUAUGGCCAGCCUGGAGGUUUUAACCAUUCAGGAUAGUGAGUUAUGCAUAGUGAGAUAGUUGUUCAUUCAAGUGUGUGUAUAUAUAUAUAUGGCAGUAUCUCUGACAGAAGCACAAAUUGGUUAAUAGGUCAUCUUCAGCACCGUGUACUGGUUGCAUUUUGUUUUCAUUGAAACUUUUGUAAAACAAUCAUGAAAAAAUGUUUACACUGCAAUAAUAAAGACAAACAGUUCUUUGUUACAAAAUGCAUCGAAAAUUGGGCGAGUUGGUACGGUAACAUAUUUCUAGCUUAUAGCAUGAAAGGACACAGACGAAAGAAUAGCUACUCGUCCUAUCUGCUUCUAGUCUUCGUCUGUGUCUCUUGGCGCUAGAAACUAGAAAUCCUUUGUUGUAUGCACAGAAAUGAGGCUCUAUUCUCCUUCAUCAGCAAACUUAGUGCCAUUAUAACCUAUAUAAAUUCUGUGUUUAUAAUGUUUUUUUUUCAUAUCUUGUUCAUUUUCUUUCAUAAUUUGUUGGACUAAUAUGCGUAUGUAAUUUUAUAUGCUUCAUGUGUUCAAAUAUCAGCUAAUGUUUUUACUAAAAUGCAUUAUACGAGUCCUUCUAUGUGAGAAAGCAUUUAAUACUUUAAUAGAAUAGGGCACAAUGUAGUUUUAUAUAUGACAAAGUAAUUUGACUAUUUAGGCAAGACAUCAAAAUUACACGCCAAAUUAGACCUUUAUUAUUGCCAGCAGGGGUUUGUAUGUAUUCGGGUAGGAACAUGCCCCAAUGCCUAUCCCACCGAAAUCCAUACUGACGCAGUGGGAUAAGCAUCGGAGUUGUGCUCGUACAACGACACAAUGACACAAAACACGUUGUUGCUUAUGCCAGUCGUUUCAGCAAUUCAGAGCGAAACUGCACUGUCAUGGAGCAAGAAUGCCUUGCGUCUGUUUUUGCUGUUAAGAAAUUUCGCUGUUACAUUUACGGUCGCCCAUUCCAGGUCAUCACCGACCACAAUUCUUUAUGCUGGCUUGUAAGUCUUCGAGAUCCGUAUGGUCGUCUAGCACGAUGGGCUUUAAGACUUCAAGAAUAUGGCUUUGUGGUAACUUACAGGAGUGGCCCCCGUCAUGAUGAUUCCAAUUGCCUUUCUCGCCUACCAUUGACAACGACACGCUCCAAUCAAGACAGCUUCGAUGACUGUCUAACUACUAUUGCUCCUGAAUUUCCUGAUGUUACCACUUUCCAGCAGGAACAGUGUAACAAUGUAAGCUUGGAACCUCUUUUUGUCGCCUCCCCACACUCCUAAAGCCAGUGGUCUGUUCUCUAUACGUGAGGGCCUACUGUAUAAAACCAACUACUUGGCGAGUGGAGCUCGCUUCCUCCUUGUUAUGCCAGAAAGUCUCCGAAGUGACGUGCUACGUGCAGUGCAUGAUGACCCGACAUCCGAUCAUCUGGGAGUCGCCCACACGCUGCAGCGGGUCCAGGAGCACUUUUACUGGCCACACAUGCAUCACACAACAGAACAAUGCGUGGUUAGCUGCGAUCAAUGACAACGCGACCAGCAGCCUACAAGCGCUCCACCCAGCCUUCUUCACCCUUUGAACAAGUUGGUAUGUACCUCCUGGGCCUCUUUCCACGGUCAUCGAACAACAACCGAUGGGUCUCAUUUGUGUUGACCAUCUUACUCGGUAUGCAGAAACAGCAGCAUUACCCUCAUCCACUGCAGCUUGCGUUGCAGCUUUCUUGUUGAGUUUCGUUAUUCUAUGCCAUGGCCCACCUCACGUGAUCAUAAGUGACCGCGGUAGGCAGUUCGUUGCCUACGCUGUAGAAGAGCUGCUUUAUCUGUGCAGUGUAAAUUUCCAACACUCAGCGCCGUAUCGUCCACAGACCAAUGGUCUUGUUGAACGGACGAAUCAAACUCUGACGAACAUGCUGGCCAUGUACGUGUUCUCAAGAACUCGGAUGACGUCUUGCCGUUCAUCACGUAUGCGUAUAACACAGCGAAGCAUGAAACAACUGACUACAGCCCUUUCUACCUUCUUUGUGCCCGAUUGCUGCGGACCUUCCUUGACACCAUCCUACCGUUUUCUCUCUAUACUGAAGAUUCAAUUACCCGCCGCGGUGGCUUAGUGGUUAAGGCGUUACGCUGCUGAGCACGAGGUCGCGGGAUCGAAUCCCGGCCGCGCUGGCCGCAUUUCGAUGGAGGCGAAAUGCACGAAUGCCCAUGUGCUUGCAUUGUAAUGCAUGUCAAAGAACCCCAGGUGGUUAAAAUUAUUCCGGAGCCCUCCACUACGGUGUGCCUCAUAAUCAGAACUGGUUUUGGCACGUAAAACCCCAGAAAGAAGAAGAUGAAGUUUCAAUUGCCAAGACACUCUGCAUUGCCGAAGAAGCCCGAUGGAUAGCACGUCCUUCGCACUGUGGCAUCGCAAAACUGCUCAAAGCAGUCGCACAACAGCACUCAUGAAUCAGUUUCUUUUGAAAAAGGCGAUUUAUUGUCGCUGUGGACCCCACAGCACAGUAGCGGCUUAUGCCGCAAGUUUCUGUCGCACUAUGUUGGCCUGUUCGCCAUUUUAGACCGUUUGAGUGACUUGACAUACGUGGUCACACACCUCUUGUCUACAGGUUGGCGGUCUAGCAAAGCCCAACUUGCUCAUGUUGCGCAUCUGACGCGCUAUUAUCCCAUCACUGAACAAUCACUCUCCCAGCAGGCUUCGUCUGCGAAAUGGGGAUUGUAAUGCGGCGUGAAAGAGAGGUUGAAGAAGAGGAGAACUUCAAUGGUCCCGCCGGCGAGCAGCAGCAGUUCAACCACUAUCUUCCCGAUCCAUCAUCUCUGCCAGCCUUCAUCUGUAGAUAAACCCAUCGUCAUCCGUAACAAUAUGUUUAGUGAGAUAGGAACUUGCAUACUGCAUCAGGGUACUGUUGCGACAACAUUAAUGUGUGUGUUGGGUUAUAACAUGUGUGUUCGGUUAUCACGUAUAUCGCCUUAAUUUGUGGCAAUCUUACUUAAUUGCCAGGUCUAGCACUUUAGUUGGGGAAGUGUUUCCAUUUGCAUUGACUUCCCAUGUUGCCUGUGACUUUGCAGGUUCCUUGUCAUCAGGGUCACCGGAGCAGUACGACUUGGUCAUGUCUGAGCAUGGCAGGUUGCAUUGCUGCCGGCUGUGCCCUUACAAGACCAAGCAUAAGCAGAACAUGACAGCUCACCUGCGGACACACUCAGGCCAACGUCCCUUCAAGUGCCACCUCUGCCCGAAAGUGUUCAGUGCGAGUUUCAGCCUCAAGCAACAUGUGUACAGCCACACAGGAGAGCGCCCCCACCAGUGCCACCUGUGCCCGGAGGCUUUCACUCAGAGUUCCCACCUGACACGCCACCUGCGGCGCUGCCACACGGGAAAGCAUGCCUUUUCCUGUGUGCACUGUGGGGCAUCCUUUUCGCAGAUACGCCAUCUGUCCAGCCACAUGUCCUGUCACGCAGGGAAGAAGCCCUAAAGGUGCAGCCAGUGUUUGUGCAGCUCAGAAACUCUACCUAAAAAUUCUGGCAACUUCAAAGAAUGCAAGUGUCUGCCUGUCAAGCCUCCAUGCACAGCUAUAAUGAAAAUGACAGCUGGGGCCACAGCCGAAGCCGCAGCCAGAGUUGCAACAGCUGGCAGGGACAUCCUUCCUGAUGUGAUGCCACUCAUAGUCACGCUGCAGCCUCUAGACCAGGAAUUUCCGCAGUUGCAGCCAUGGUCACAGCUACAGUCCCCUCUUUCAGUGUUGCCACCAUUGUAGCAAUUGGAUUCUGUUUGCCCCUUCCAGUGCCACCUGUGGCCAAACGCAUUUACUGUCCCAACCUCAAGCAGCAUGUGUACAGUCAUACGGCAGAGUGGCCAUAUCCCUGCACCCACUGCACUGCGUCUUUUUCACGGAAGGAGUGCCUCUUUUACCACAUGCCUUGUCACAGAUGGGGAAGAAGUGCUAAUUGUUAAGGUUAAUUAGAGAUGGGCAAAACGGCUCACUUCAGUGAGCGGCUCGGAACGGCUCAGCUCACUGAAAUGAACCGGUUCAUUUGAACGGCUCACCGGUUCAAUUAAACAUGUCACCUGUGUUAUGCAUAUUCUAUAGUUAUUUGGAUUUGAAAAAAAAAAAAAAACAAUAUAUGCAUGCAUAAUUGAAUAACCGUGUUGUUGGUAUUUUUGCUAUGUUUAGAGAUUAUUUUUACAUAUUUUAAAAGCAUGAAUUUUUAGUUGUAACGAAACUUUCUUUUCUCAUAUUGAGGAUAAAAUGCUUAUAAUACUGUAACAGGCAGAAUGCGACGUACUUUUCUCAGAAAAAACAAGUAACUUCAUCAUCAUUACAGGAGCUUUCCAGUUUUUGUGGUACUUUAAAAUCAAUUUUGGUCAAAAUAAGAACACAAAAUUAUUGUACAUUAUCUUUCAACUUUAUUCAUUUAUUCUCAUACGCACGCUCACUAUAAUAUGAGUGAGCUGCAACACCAUGCAAAAUGAAUGUCGAAAUUAUCUCUUGAAGUACAAUACAAAAAUCAUACUAAAGAUCCACAAGACUAUUGCAUGUACCUUUCAUUUUUUUUUUCUCAUGCGCACGCGCUAUACUGGCGAUCAUGCCAACAUGCGCCAGGACAAAAAAAAAAAAAAAAAAAAGAAGAAA